rnacentral:rRNA from 1 species
AGGUAGGAAUACCCGCUGAACUUAAGCAU